rnacentral:rRNA from 1 species
CACUAUCGUUAACUGAAUACAUAGGUUAACGAGGCGAACCGGGGGAACUGAAACAUCUAAGUACCCCGAGGAAAAGAAAUCAACCGAGAUUCCCCCAGUAGCGGCGAGCGAACGGGGAGCAGCCCGGAGUCUGAAUCAGCUUGUGUGUUAGUGGAACGGUCUGGAAAGUCCGACGGUACAGGGUGAUAGUCCCGUACACGAAAGCACACUUGCUGUGAACUCGAAGAGUAGGGCGGGACACGUGGUAUCCUGUCUGAAUAUGGGGGGACCAUCCUCCAAGGCUAAAUACUCCUGACUGACCGAUAGUGAACCAGUACCGUGAGGGAAAGGCGAAAAGAACCCCGGCGAGGGGAGUGAAAAAGAACCUGAAACCGUGUACGUACAAGCAGUGGGAGCACCUUCGUGGUGUGACUGCGUACCUUUUGUAUAAUGGGUCAGCGACUUAUAUUCUGUAGCAAGGUUAACCGUAUAGGGGAGCCGAAGGGAAACCGAGUCUUAACUGGGCGUUAAGUUGCAGGGUAUAGACCCGAAACCCGGUGAUCUAGCCAUGGGCAGGUUGAAGGUUGGGUAACACUAACUGGAGGACCGAACCGACUAAUGUUGAAAAAUUAGCGGAUGACCUGUGGCUGGGGGUGAAAGGCCAAUCAAACCGGGAGAUAGCUGGUUCUCCCCGAAAGCUAUUUAGGUAGCGCCUCGUGAACUCAUCUUCGGGGGUAGAGCACUGUUUCGGCUAGGGGGCCAUCCCGGCUUACCAACCCGAUGCAAACUACGAAUACCGAAGAAUGUUAUCACGGGAGACACACGGCGGGUGCUAACGUCCGUCGUGAAGAGGGAAACAACCCAGACCGCCAGCUAAGGUCCCAAAGUCAUGGUUAAGUGGGAAACGAUGUGGGAAGGCACAGACAGCCAGGAUGUUGGCUUAGAAGCAGCCAUCAUUUAAAGAAAGCGUAAUAGCUCACUGGUCGAGUCGGCCUGCGCGGAAGAUGUAACGGGGCUAAACCAUGCACCGAAGCUGCGGCAGCGACACUAUGUGUUGUUGGGUAGGGGAGCGUUCUGUAAGCCGUUGAAGGUGGCCUGUGAGGGUUGCUGGAGGUAUCAGAAGUGCGAAUGCUGACAUAAGUAACGAUAAAGCGGGUGAAAAGCCCGCUCGCCGGAAGACCAAGGGUUCCUGUCCAACGUUAAUCGGGGCAGGGUGAGUCGACCCCUAAGGCGAGGCCGAAAGGCGUAGUCGAUGGGAAACAGGUUAAUAUUCCUGUACUUGGUGUUACUGCGAAGGGGGGACGGAGAAGGCUAUGUCAGCCGGGCGACGGUUGUCCCGGUUUAAGCAUGUAGGCGGAGGUUCCAGGUAAAUCCGGUACCUUGUUAACGCUGAGGUGUGAUGACGAGGCACUACGGUGCUGAAGUGAUAAAUGCCCUGCUUCCAGGAAAAGCCUCUAAGCAUCAGGUAACACGAAAUCGUACCCCAAACCGACACAGGUGGUCAGGUAGAGAAUACCAAGGCGCUUGAGAGAACUCGGGUGAAGGAACUAGGCAAAAUGGUGCCGUAACUUCGGGAGAAGGCACGCUGAUGUGUAGGUGAAGUCCCUGCGGACGGAGCUGAAAUCAGUCGAAGAUACCAGCUGGCUGCAACUGUUUAUUAAAAACACAGCACUGUGCAAACACGAAAGUGGACGUAUACGGUGUGACGCCUGCCCGGUGCCGGAAGGUUAAUUGAUGGGGUUAGCUGUAAGGCGAAGCUCUUGAUCGAAGCCCCGGUAAACGGCGGCCGUAACUAUAACGGUCCUAAGGUAGCGAAAUUCCUUGUCGGGUAAGUUCCGACCUGCACGAAUGGCGUAAUGAUGGCCAGGCUGUCUCCACCCGAGACUCAGUGAAAUUGAACUCGCUGUGAAGAUGCAGUGUACCCGCGGCAAGACGGAAAGACCCCGUGAACCUUUACUAUAGCUUGACACUGAACACUGGUCCUUGAUGUGUAGGAUAGGUGGGAGGCUUUGAAGCGUGGACGCCAGUCUGCGUGGAGCCGCCCUUGAAAUACCACCCUUUAAUGGCUGGUGUUCUAACGUAGACCCGUAAUCCGGGUUGCGGACAGUGUCUGGUGGGUAGUUUGACUGGGGCGGUCUCCUCCCAAAGAGUAACGGAGGAGCACGAAGGUUGGCUAAUCCUGGUCGGACAUCAGGAGGUUAGUGCAAUGGCAUAAGCCAGCUUGACUGCGAGCGUGACGGCGCGAGCAGGUGCGAAAGCAGGUCAUAGUGAUCCGGUGGUUCUGAAUGGAAGGGCCAUCGCUCAACGGAUAAAAGGUACUCCGGGGAUAACAGGCUGAUACCGCCCAAGAGUUCAUAUCGACGGCGGUGUUUGGCACCUCGAUGUCGGCUCAUCACAUCCUGGGGCUGAAGUAGGUCCCAAGGGUAUGGCUGUUCGCCAUUUAAAGUGGUACGCGAGCUGGGUUUAGAACGUCGUGAGACAGUUCGGUCCCUAUCUGCCGUGGGCGCUGGAGAAUUGAGGGGGGCUGCUCCUAGUACGAGAGGACCGGAGUGGACGCAUCACUGGUGUUCGGGUUGUCAUGCCAAUGGCACUGCCCGGUAGCUAAAUGCGGAAGAGAUAAGUGCUGAAAGCAUCUAAGCACGAAACUUGCCCCGAGAUGAGUUCUCCCUGAGACUUUAAGUCUCCUGAAGGAACGUUAAAGACGAUGACGUUGAUAGGUCGGGUGUGUAAGCGCAGCGAUGCGUUGAGCUAACCGAUACUAAUGAACCGUGAGGCUUAACCUU